UUAAUGAAACAUUCUGAAACUCUUAUAUGAUCACUACAUCAAUAUAAUAGCAAAUGAAAUCAAGUGAUUCUUGUUGAUACAUCAUUAAUAAAGCCAUAUAAAUAGAAAACAAAUAGCAAGUUAGCAGAAGGAAACAAAUUUACUAUAUAUAAAACGUUGGUUAACUGUUCAUAAGCCGUUUCACUGUUCAUAAGCCGUUACUGUUCAUAGCCGAGCCAUGUUCAUUCGGGUUACUGUUCGUUCAUGGGUAAAAAACCAUUUUUACCCUCAUUUGAAAUUUUGUUACGAAUCUGCCACUGACCAAUUUUUUCCUCUGUCUUCCUCCCUUCUCCCUCCCAGAGGACCCGGACCGAGUUUUUCUCUCUUCCUCCUAAACCAAACAGCUGAUUUGACCGUGGAAGAUGCAGCCAAGGCUUCAGCUUCGGAAGAUCAGACGGAGUCGAACCCUAAAUCAAUGCAAGACGAGAACGCCAAUCAUGAAAUAGUAUAGAAGUCUGGGUUUCAGUGGAAGUGUCGAUCCUUCAGUGAUAUCCAUCGUGUCUGCACAUACACUAUACUCAAAACACUGAAUCAGUUUUUGUCAUCAGAAAACUCGAGAGAUUUUGGCUUAGCUUUCCAGGUUGGUGUAUCGACAUGGUGUCUAUGCUCAACCUUUGGGGAUUAUAUUACAAUUAUCACCAGUUUUAUCCAGCAGUCAAGUUUAGUUGAAUUUUCUACUGUAUCCAUGUUCAAGCCUUUGGGGAUUGUAGUUACAGUUACCAUUGGUUUUGCAUUGAAACCUACUAUUGCUCUUUGACUCAGAAAAUCCAGAAAUAAAGCACGGGCUAUCUAGCUUCAUUUA